GAUGAAGAACGCAGCGAAAUGCGAUAAGUAAUGUGAAUUGCAGAAUUCAGUGAAUCAUCGAAUCUUUGAACGCAUCUUGCGCUCCUUGGUAUUCCUUGGAGCAUGCCUGUUUGAGUAUCAUGAGCAAAUCUCAAAGUCAAUUCCUUUUGUUGAUUCAAUUGGUUUUGCUUUGGACUUGGAGGCCUUGCAGAUUUCACAGUCUGCUCCUCUUAAAUGCAUUAGCUGGAUCUCAGUAAUUAUGCUUGGUUCCACUCGGCGUGAUAAGUAUCACUCGCUGAGGACACUGUUAAAAAGGUGGCCAGGAAAAUACUGAUUGAACCGCUUCUAACGGUCUAUUAAGUUAGACAAUUACCCUUAAGUUUGAUCUCAUAUCAGGUAGGACUACCCGCUGAACUUAAGCAUAUCAAUAAGCGGAGGA
rnacentral:misc_RNA from 1 species